GGACGGGAGGAUGGUCAGGCUGCUACAUCGGGAACCCACUGACCACCAGGGGUGACUGGGCUGGUCUGGCUGGCCAAGCAGGUGUCCCCUUCCUCCCUCACAGCUCCACACAGGUCCGUCUGAGAGCUUCACGAUGGGUUGAAGAGGACGGCCUUCCACAAUUGAGGGUCGUUCUUAAGUCGAUUAUAUGUGCGUAGCUGUGCUCUUCUGCAACCUGCAGACAGCUCUGGAGAACUUGUAAGAGGUAGAAGUAGCUGUCCAGGGA
rnacentral:snRNA from 1 species